rnacentral:rRNA from 1 species
AUUGAACGCUGGCGGCAUGCUUUACACAUGCAAGUCGAACGGUAACAGGCCGCAAGGUGCUGACGAGUGGCGAACGGGUGAGUAAUGCAUCGGAACGUGCCCAGUCGUGGGGGAUAACGCAGCGAAAGCUGUGCUAAUACCGCAUACGAUCUAUGGAUGAAAGCGGGGGACCGUAAGGCCUCGCGCGAUUGGAGCGGCCGAUGUCAGAUUAGGUAGUUGGUGGGGUAAAAGCCUACCAAGCCGACGAUCUGUAGCUGGUCUGAGAGGACGACCAGCCACACUGGGACUGAGACACGGCGCAGACUCCUACGGGAGGCAGCAGUGGGGAAUUUUGGACAAUGGGCGCAAGCCUGAUCCAGCAAUGCCGCGUGCAGGAAGAAGGCCUUCGGGUUGUAAACUGCUUUUGUACGGAACGAAACGGUCUGGGUUAAUACCCUGGGCUAAUGACGGUACCGUAAGAAUAAGCACCGGCUAACUACGUGCCAGCCGCCGCCGUAACAC